UACGGAAGGCAGCAGUGGGGAAUAUUGCACAAUGGGCGAAAGCCUGAUGCAGCUAUGCCGCGUGUAUGAAGAAGGCCUUAGGGUUGUAAAGUACUUUCAUCGGGGAGGAAAAACAAAACUAAUAAUUUUAUUUCUUGACGUUACCCGAAAAAGAAGCACCGGCUAACUCCGUGCCAGCAGCCGCGGUAAUACGGAGGGUGCUAGCGUUAAUCAGAAUUACUGGGCGUAAAGAGCACGUAGGUGGUUUUUUUAAAGUCAGAUGUGAAAUCCCUGGGCUUAACCUGGAACUGCAUUUUGAAACUGAAAUACUAGAGUAUCGUAGAGGGAGGUAGAAUUCUAGGUGUAGCGGUGAAAUGCGUAGAUAUCUGGAGGAAUCCUGUGGCGAAAGCGGCCUCCUAAACGAAUACUGACACUGAGGUGCGAAAGCGUGGGGAGCAAACAGGGAUUAGAUACC
rnacentral:rRNA from 1 species